GGAGAGUACAGCUCAGUGGUAGAGCGCAUGCUUAGCAUGCACGAGGUCCUGGGUUCAAUCCCCAGUGCCUCCU
rnacentral:tRNA from 1 species